UACGUAGGGUGCGAGCGUUAAUCGGAAUUACUGGGCGUAAAGCGUGCGCAGGCGGUUUGUUAAGACAGAUGUGAAAUCCCCGGGCUUAACCUGGGAAUGGCGUUUGUAACUGGCAAGCUAGAGUGUGUCAGAGGGAGGUAGAAUUCCACGUGUAGCAGUGAAAUGCGUAGAGAUGCGGAGGAAUACCGAUGGCGAAGGCAGCCUCCUGGGAUAACACUGACGCUCAUGCACGAAAGCGUGGGGAGCAAACAGG
rnacentral:rRNA from 1 species